UACACUCCUGCGGGAGGCAGCAGUAGGGAAUCUUCCACAAUGGGUGCAAACCUGAUGGAGCAAUGCCGCGUGAGUGAAGAAGGUCUUCGGAUCGUAAAGCUCUGUUGUUAGAGAAGAACACGUGCUAGGUAACUACUAGCGCCUUGACGGUAUCUAACCAGAAAGUCACGGCUAACUACGUGCCAGCAGCCGCGGUAAUACGUAGGUGACAAGCGUUGUCCGGAUUUAUUGGGCGUAAAGGGAGCGCAGGCGGUCUGUUUAGUCUAAUGUGAAAGCCCACGGCUUAACCGUGGAACGGCAUUGGAAACUGACAGACUUGAAUGUAGAAGAGGAAAAUGGAAUUCCAAGUGUAGCGGUGGAAUGCGUAGAUAUUUGGAGGAACACCAGUGGCGAAGGCGAUUUUCUGGUCUAACAUUGACGCUGAGGCUCGAAAGCGUGGGGAGCGAACAGGAUUAGAAACCCUGGUAGUCCCAUGAU
rnacentral:rRNA from 1 species